rnacentral:rRNA from 1 species
GACGAACGCUGGCGGCGUGCUUAACACAUGCAAGUGGAGCGACGAACCGGGGCUUGCCCCGGGGCAGAGCCGCGAACGGGUGAGUAACACGUGGGUAACCUGCCUCAAUGAUUGGGACAACCCGGGGAAACUCGGGCUAAUACCAAAUGUGUUCACUCCUUCUAAGGGGAGUGAGGAAAGGAAGCUUCGGCCUCCGCAUUGAGAUGGGCCCGCGGCCCAUUAGCUUGUUGGUGAGGUAACGGCUCACCAAGGCUUCGAUGGGUAGCUGGUCUGAGAGGACGAUCAGCCACACUGGGACUGAGACACGGCCCAGACUCCUACGGAGGCAGCAGUGGGAAUCUUGCACAAUGCGCGAAAGCGUGAUGCAGCAACGCCGCGUGGGGAAGACGGCCUCCGGGUUGUAAACCCCUUUCAGUUGGACGAAGCGUUCGUCGGUGAAUAGCCGGUUGGAGUGACGGUACCUUCAGAAGAAGCCCCGGCUAACUACGUGCCAGCAGCCGCGGU